UAGCUUACUUGAUCUGAAUUGAUUGGCC
rnacentral:piRNA from 1 species